rfam:Acyrthosiphon pisum strain LSR1 Contig24318, whole genome shotgun sequence.
AAAACGGUCCUUUUUAGGACCACCAAGUAUUAUUACAAUCUACAA